AAAGCGGCUCGCAAUAUAACACCCACGCUAUGUUGAACUCGCGAGUCCGAACUAAACCAUCGCAGAACUAAACCUUUGCACUGUCACCACCACCAACCGUAUCGACACCAAAAACAAUACCCAAUUGAAUACCCAAUCAGUUGACCCAGAGAGCCCUUUCUAUCUGCUCCGAUUCCUCAUGGGGUUACUAAUUUCUGCAACCAAACAAACCUAGAUCACUGGCUUGUCAAGAUCGAAGAGGAUGUGCGGCGUGCCUGGGAGAACACCUUUGUUGAAGCCUCUGUUUGAAGCUUUCCCGAUUGAAUUAAAAAAAAGAGUCAAAAGGGGAGAAGGAGAACUGGGGAAAAAGGGGAUGUGGAGGUGGGUUGCGAUGAGAGAGAGACAGAGACAGAGACAGAGACAGAGACAGAGGGAAUUGGGUUUGGUUGAUGUGAGCUCCGAUAGUUCUUCUUAUGUUUGCAAAGGCCGCAAGGUGAAGAAGCAAGAAUGAAUCUAUUAAUCCCAGGGAGCAAGAGAAGAUGGCUUCAGUGGGGGAGGUGGAUAGGCCGCUUCAUCUUCUACGCUACACUUCAACCCCUAUGUCUUCUCUGCACUGCAAAACUCAGCCACUUCAUCUUCUCCGCUCUACAAAACUCAGCCCCUGCAUAUGAUUUGUUUUUCUAGUUCACUCAUCGGCUGCUGGUUCAUCAGAAAAAGAGAAGGAAGAAGGUUGAUCACUGAAGCAUACCUCCAGCAUUUUGGUUCAUUGGAAGUUAAUUCCCAUCCUGCCUUUUAAAUUGAUCAUAUUUUCAAGCUAUGUCUCUGGACACUUGGCUACAAAGGCAAUUCUGGGAAUUUUUGGGUGUCCAGAGAUGUUUUUGGGGUGUGUAUCAAAAGCUAAUCACCCUUAUAUACGUAGGGAUGAAUGCUUUAUUGGGUGUCCACAGAUACACUAUUUAAUGAAUGCUUUAUUGGGUACUAAUAAUUUGGAAUUUGUUAAAUGGUGAAAUGGUUAAGAGUGGUGAUUAGAUGGGGAUGCUGUCCUUAAUGUUGAACAACUGCUUAUGAAUGGAGCCUUGUAUGUUGGUCAAACUGUGUAAAUGUUAUUAUUAUGUUAUAUAUCCAGAGUGCUUGCCUAUGUAGCUCAUGUCUAUGAGUCUAGCUAUUUUCGUUGUCAUAAUACAUUUCAGAUUUAAGCA